rnacentral:rRNA from 1 species
UACGGGGGGGGUAAGCGUUGUUCGGAAUUACUGGGCGUAAAGGGCUCGUAGGCGGCCAACUAAGUCAGACGUGAAAUCCCUCAGCUUAACUGGGGAACUGCGUCUGAUACUGGAUGGCUUGGAUUUGGGAGAGGGAUGCGGAAUUCCAGGUGUAGCGGUGAAAUGCGUAGAUAUCUGGAGGAACACCGGUGGCGAAGGCGGCAUCCUGGACCAACAUUGACGCUGAGGAGCGAAAGCUAGGGGAGCGAACAGG